AAACUCAGUGCCCCAUCUGGCAUGGGCGGGGGGUGGGGUGGGGGGUGUUCAUUUUGUUAUUGUCAUAAUUAUUUAUGAUCGUUUGAAUGAAGGGAAAACACUUGCUUUGGGAUAGGAUAUUUUCUUUGAGGUUGAACUCAUCCACGCCCUUGUUAAGCCCCCGUUUUCUUUUUUUAAGAGCCUGGGGGGAAUUUGUUGAUGGGCUGAGCUUAAAUACUUAAGAGGUUGGAUAAUGGUAUGUAUAUUUCUGUAUAUUUAGUGUAAGUACUUUUUGUAAAAUAAUAACAUGAAAAGAGUGAAGAAAUGCUAUUAAGCUUGUACAAAAAUUGGAAAUGAGCUGAUUAUUGACGGACCUAAGUAUUUGGGCAGUCUUUUUUUAAAGAGAAACAAAUGCUGUUAUUCUGGGAGUGGAGCACACCAACAAUUUUAUAGACGUUUACCUGACAAAACCCCCAGUUCCAUUGCCCUGGCUGAACUCACUCCGACUGUAACCAUUGGUCAGUUGCAUUUCUUUUGAGGUAUUGCACCCACAUGGGUUUCAUCUUUCAUUUGACAGUGAAGCACUCUGGCUGAUCAACUCACAUUUACUAUGAAUAUCAUUAUGGAAAACGGAUAUGACUUUUGCAUUACCUGUAUGCUUAUGUUCUGUGCAUGUUCCUCAAACCAGAUAAAUUGUAACAACUCAGUUGCACUUGACAGUUGUACUUGUCAACUUUAAAUAAAAUGUUACAGAAAAACAAGUUUGAUAACCAAUGGCGUCCAUGUUUGCUUUCAUGCAGGGCUUUGAAGGUACAUUAUACAUAAGUCUUCAGAUGACUUCAUUUGGUUGGUGAAUGGCAUGUGCAUGACAUCAUCUAUCUGAAAUGUGUACAUUAAUGCAAGGACAAGCCUCUAGACCCAGACUGGCUGUCUUAUCUUGCCCACCCUGUUCCUUCAAUCAACCCCACAUGGUCACUGACGUGGCUGCACUCCUUGAUGUUGAGACCGUGCUUGGUUGGAUGGAUGUAAGUGCAUUUCAAGUAUUAGACCAUCAUAUCUAAGUUUCAGAACUACUUGUCAUUCUAUGAAAGUAAGCUUUUGCUAUACUUGCUAUGGAUUGAUAUGGCCACUUGGACAAAUCAUGUACACUUAUUAUACGUUAUAAAUGAAACAAACAGAUACAAAACAAGCUAAGUGCAGGUCAUGAUAUGCAGCAGGUGGAAUGAAGUUCAGCUAAUUCGAGUGUACGAACGGUGAUGUCCAUCAAACUCAACCUGGAGAAAUAAGCACUUUGUCUUAGUGAGGGGGGAAAGUAUGCCAUAGCAAAAGACCAGGAAACAGAUAAAAAGCUGAAGCUGAAAUACAUUUUCUAAAAUUUCAGUUUAGUUAAAGUUUUGGAUACAUGGAAGUUGAAGCCAUUCCCAUGUCACAAACAAGGCACACCUCACAAACACUUUACUCUGAAGGAUCUUGUGCAACAGCAAUGGAGAACUGACAAUAGACACUUGGCAAAUGCAUUCAAUAUUUAUUAGAAAAAAAAUCUCUCCCACACACACCUAUAUAUACUCACAUACACAUAAUUAUGGCACAUCUCCAAUGAGAUACACCUUCCAUGAAGAGAAAAAUGCGAGGGGAAAUUGCCAAAAAGUGACACAACUUUCCUUGACACAAUAUACACACAAUAGCCACAGGGUCAUGUACACAUGAUGCCGUGCCAAGUUUCAUCCGCUAAUUGGAGGAAUGAAUGAAUCUGCAGCCUCCAAUCCUCCUCCAGGUUCUCCAAGGCCUUAGUC
ensembl:lncRNA